rfam:Microgenomates bacterium GW2011_GWA1_48_10 TY21_C0013, whole genome shotgun sequence.
GCUGAGGUGGUAGAGUGGACAAAUACACCAGACUGUAAAUCUGGCGCUCGAAAGGGCUACCCUGGUUCGAAUCCAGGCCUCAGCA